rnacentral:rRNA from 1 species
GAUGAACGCUGGCGGCGUGCUUAACACAUGCAAGUCGAACGAAGCACUUUAUUUGAUUUCCUUCGGGACUGAUUAUUUUGUGACUGAGUGGCGGACGGGUGAGUAACGCGUGGGUAACCUGCCUUGUACAGGGGGAUAACAGUUGGAAACGGCUGCUAAUACCGCAUAAGCGCACAGCAUCGCAUGAUGCAGUGUGAAAAACUCCGGUGGUAUAAGAUGGACCCGCGUUGGAUUAGCUAGUUGGUGAGGUAACGGCCCACCAAGGCGACGAUCCGUAGCCGACCUGAGAGGGUGACCGGCCACAUUGGGACUGAGACACGGCCCAAACUCCUACGGGAGGCAGCAGUGGGGAAUAUUGCACAAUGGGCGAAAGCCUGAUGCAGCGACGCCGCGUGAGCGAAGAAGUAUUUCGGUAUGUAAAGCUCUAUCAGCAGGGAAGAUAAUGACGGUACCUGACUAAGAAGCACCGACUAAAUACGUG